rnacentral:misc_RNA from 1 species
GUAUUUCUUACCUCUUGGUGCUUUUCUCUCGGGAAGGGUGCUGCUAGGUAGAUUUGAGAUAUGAAUGCCUGCAUUCUGUCUUUAAAUAGAUUGCCGCCUUGAUGGUGACUUUUUGUGUUUGAAUAGAACUCUGUUCUCGAUUACGCUUAGGGGCUCUGUCGUUGGGUGGUUCAUACCUAUGAAGACGGCUUUGCUGUCUUGAA